AUCCCAGCGUCUUCGAACGAAUCAAAGGAAAAGAACCAAAAAAGGACGAAAACGUCCUAUGUGCAAGAUGUAAAAGAAAAAUAAAUGGAGACACGGAGAAACCAGGGACAUGGCAGCAUCCCUAUCGUCCUGCCUUCUUCCCAAACAUUCAACCUGGUAGAGGGCGAGGUACAUCGUUCUAUAGAGGACCGCCUUUUGAAAGGCAGUUCAGACCAACAGAUGUUGGAAGAACAUUUAGGCCGCAACCUCGCCGGCCAAAUGUAUGGCAUUCAUUCCAGUACAGCGCAGGAAGAACGAUACCCUUCGAUGAGAUGACCAGGACUCAACAAAGGCGUUUCCAGCGAAACUACGGACGGAUGAUGAGGCAGCAACAAGGAAUGCCACACCCUAAAGCACCUCUACUACUCAAGGUAGCCAAUCAAAACGUCCUAAAGAGCAAUAAAGAAACUGGUGCAGAUGAAUCAAUGAAAGAACUGCCAGAGACCUCUUCUGGGAGAUCAAGGUUUGAGAGGGACAAAAAGGAUGAGGAAGACCUAGAUCAGCCCCUUACUAUCCAAUUCGGUACGUUGCCUCCUGUCGUGGCCAACAAUUACCUACUGGCCAAUGAGUUCAAAAAUAAGGAAAAAGAAGAAGAGAGGGAGGACAACGAAGGAGAAGCCUGCGUGUUGGUGUGUGAAGAAGGCCAGACUUCUGGAGAGGCCUACAACGAUGAAGAGGACGAUGGGAUGACAGACAUUGAAGAGGAAAUAGAUCUAGAAGCAGAAAGGAGAAAAAGAGGAGUAUCACGCAAUACCCUGUUUAAGCAACUACAUCAAGAGGGAGUCCGCGAAGUAGACUUAUUGGGGGAGCCAUCUGGGCGUCCUUUCGAUUUCUAUGUACUAUACGGGACACCCAAAAGGAAAAAGAGAGUGCCUCGCUCUGAGAAGUAUGGGUCACCUCCAAAAAUAAUGCCUCCUCCCACAGGUUGGAUGACUGAUGUGGAAGCAAAAAUAAUGCCUCCUCCCACAGGUUGGAUAACCGACGAGGAAGCAUUAGAAAAAAGCAAGAGGGAGAUUCAGGAGACAGGGGAUAAGAGCGACAUACUACACGUCGACCUAUCACAAGGGGAUAAUCCGACAGAAAACAAGCAAGAGGUAGAAAUAGAGGCUGCCGAAAAGGUUGUUUUUAAACGGCCAGCCAUGAAGUUGACAAAACACCUGAGGCCAUUAUACGUUAAAGCUCUAGUUAACGGCGUCCCAGUGGCAAAAGUGCUUGUCGAUAAUGGAGCAGCUAUAAACACCAUUCCAUCCAGAAUGAUGAGAAAGCUCGCAAAAACAGAGGGUGAUAUGAUUCCUACAGAAGUCAUCC
rnacentral:lncRNA from 1 species